AAAAUAGCUUUUAAAAAGUAGAAAACAUACAUCCCAUAUUUACUUAUUUUAGUAUACUGUAUGCAUGAAAUAAAGCUACAAAACAAUUACUUACAUAUCACCAUCGUCACCAUGACAACCAAAGUUUGCGCCACUGAACCGGACAGUGGUUAAGAACAUUGGUUCCGCAAGGGCUCCGGUUUCCCCACGGACCAUUCUGAUGGAACACCCAUUGGCAGCGGUGAGUGAGAAAUGUUUGUUUGUAGUGCAGUGAACUAUUGUGUUGCGAGUGGAAUAUAGAACGAGACAACUGGUACCUGCGUUGCUCGCAACGAUGGAGGGGGAAGAGGAGGAGGAGGAGGUCAGGAGCACCUUGAUGAUCCACCGCCUGUGAAAUGAGGAUGAAUAUUUCAUUUGACGAGACAUUAACACAGUCCUGAAAGUGUUUAGCCUUGCUGCACACAUAAACAGGGAAGGGGAGGGGGUGGUGACAAGCAGACACACAUAUACACACACAAAUAUAUAUACAUAUACGCACCUGGUUCCUGGAGACGGCUUAAAUACAGGGAUUAAAUAUAUAUGUCUGCCUUUAUGCACCCCUCCUCUCCCCCUCUUACUUGGCUCUGCUGUCUUGGUGUCUCAUUUUGAACACACACACACACACACACACACACACACACACACACACACACACACACACACACCAGUUGCAGCAGCAGAGCCACACAUCUAGUCCAUGUGUGACUCAUCUCUUUCCUGGGUUUCUGGGAGUUUCCUGAUUUGCAGCCCUGGGGCAUUAUGUGGUGAGUUCUCCUGCCCCGUCCACUGGCCCCUCUAACUGGCCCUUAAGCAAGCGCCUAAUUCCCACCAAUCACGUCCCUUUUAGUCUGGGAGCGAAAGAAAUCACCUCCCUUUGAUUGGCCCCAAAUCAAUGGAUUUUCUGCAAAGCACCGGUGCGUAACGAGAGUAAAGAGAGCUGCUGAUGGAGCUGCUGAUGGAGCUUCUGAACUCCCAUCUCUAUCACUCUGCCAGGAAGAAGCUCCGAGAUAACCGCGAAACGCAGCCAGGAGAGCCAAGUGUUAUUCAGUAGGCUUUCUACAGUUUUGAUUAAUUGGGUAAACAGAGAUAGGACAAGAGGGGAGAGAGAGAGAGAGAGAGAGGGAAAGAGAGAAAAAGAGAGAAAGAGUUAGAGAGAGAGAGAGUGGAAGGGAGGUGGAGGAGAAGAGGGGACAGAGAGAGGUCAGUAUCUGAUUAACAUUUGACUGAAAGGGCAAGGCUAGUCAUCAACCUGAUACAUUCAUCUAGAGGGCCCAUGUAUGUCCAGUCUAGUACAUGAACUGUGAAUAAUAACAUUAAUGUAGCUUAUAGUAACACUCAUAUUAUUUGUUUAUCAGUGCAUGUAUGGACAUUGAGUACAAGUUCAAUCAGAUCAAUCAUUAACACUUACCCCUAAUAGGACACAUGAGAGGAAAAGGCCCAUAGAAAACAUCCUCCCCCAAUCAGAGCAAGAGGAUGGUUUAACAUGUUGGAGAUGACAAGUGCGUGUGCCGUUUCACACACACACACACACACAUACGCACACACACACACAAACACACACACACUCGCACACACACACGCACACACACACACUGUUUAACCUUAUGUCUUGAUAAGCUGGCACAGGCACCUGCACCUUUGGAGGGGAUAUAAUUUGAUAUCCUGGGUGCUCCAAUCCCUCCAUUGCUGGCACAGCAAGCAGGUUUCAGUUUUUGCAUUCCUGGCAUAACCAGGCAAACAAACGCCACCACUGGUUCAGACCGAGCAAAGGCGCAAUAUGAUGAUAACACUGUAGCCACCGAGUUUCUGCACAGCAGUGGGGGGACUGGCUCAUCUCUGGAGAGCUGAUCUUGUGCCACAAUCAGGUUUCUGCACAUCCCCUACUUCUACAGGUUCCUGCAGUUAAUGACUUAUCUCUACACAUCGGCGCCGGGUUGCCGGGCAACAGCAUAAUCAAGUAUUUUUCAACAAUCAUAACAGGGGGGAUGCCUGGAAAAAGAUUAGAGGAGGGUUUUUUCAGGGAAAUCAAUACGGUUUCUCAGAAAGUAAUAUUGAUCCCACAAUAUUGCAGAUGAUGUUUUGCAAAUCAGUAAUUUCAUAUAACAAAGCUGCAGCUGUAUUUUGUGUAGACGGUUUCAAAGGGCAGUGAAUAUUUUCAGCUGUCGUGUUUGUGGUGGCAGACACUCUUCUUUAGGUUCAAUCAUGUUUAAAACAUAUAUCUUCUCAGGCUCAGUAAACAUGCAAACACAGACACAGAGAGAGAGAGAGAGACACACACACACACACACACACACACACAUACACAAGCACACAAUAUAGUAACACACAAAUGCCCUUCCAUGCUUACAUGUGGAAACCGCACAGAAACUAAGAAAUACAGGAGAGGAGACACGAGAUCAAAAGGCAGUGGGAAGUGAAUCACCUGUAAAUUUCUCCUCAUCAAGGUCUGUUGAAAAGGGGUUUUCUAUGAAUAAAGAAUGUGCAUGAAAACUG